rnacentral:rRNA from 1 species
CUGAUGGAGGGGGAUAACUACUGGAAACGGUAGCUAAUACCGCAUAACGUCGCAAGACCAAAGAGGGGGACCUUCGGGCCUCUUGCCAUCGGAUGUGCCCAGAUGGGAUUAGCUUGUUGGUGGGGUAACGGCUCACCAAGGCGACGAUCCCUAGCUGGUCUGAGAGGAUGACCAGCCACACUGGAACUGAGACACGGUCCAGACUCCUACGGGAGGCAGCAGUGGGGAAUAUUGCACAAUGGGCGCAAGCCUGAUGCAGCCAUGCCGCGUGUAUGAAGAAGGCCUUCGGGUUGUAAAGUACUUUCAGCGGGGAGGAAGGGAGUAAAGUUAAUACCUUUGCUCAUUGACGUUACCCGCAGAAGAAGCACCGGCUAACUCCGUGCCAGCAGCCGCGGUAAUACGGAGGGUGCAAGCGUUAAUCGGAAUUACUGGGUGUAAAGCGCACGCAGGCGGUUUGUUAAGUCAGAUGUGAAAUCCCCGGGCUCAACCUGGGAACUGCAUCUGAUACUGGCAAGCUUGAGUCUCGUAGAGGGGGGUAGAAUUCCAGGUGUAGCGGUGAAAUGCGUAGAGAUCUGGAGGAAUACCGGUGGCGAAGGCGGCCCCCUGGACGAAGACUGACGCUCAGGUGCGAAAGCGUGGGGAGCAAACAGGAUUAGAUACCCUGGUAGUCCACGCCGUAAACGAUGUCGACUUGGAGGUUGUGCCCUUGAGGCGUGGCUUCCGGAGCUAACGCGUUAAGUCGACCGCCUGGGGAGUACGGCCGCAAGGUUAAAACUCAAAUGAAUUGACGGGGGCCCGCACAAGCGGUGGAGCAUGUGGUUUAAUUCGAUGCAACGCGAAGAACCUUACCUGGUCUUGACAUCCACAGAACUUUCCAGAGAUGGAUUGGUGCCUUCGGGAACUGUGAGACAGGUGCUGCAUGGCUGUCGUCAGCUCGUGUUGUGAAAUGUUGGGUUAAGUCCAGCAACGAGCGCAACCCUUAUCCUUUGUUGCCAGCGGUCCGGCCGGGAACUCAAAGGAGACUGCCAGUGAUAAACUGGAGGAAGGGGGGGAUGACGUCAAGUCAUCAUGGCCCUUACGACCAGGGCUACACACGUGCUACAAUGGCGCAUACAAAGAGAAGCGACCUCGCGAGAGCAAGCGGACCUCAUAAAGUGCGUCGUAGUCCGGAUUGGAGUCUGCAACUCGACUCCAUGAAGUCGGAAUCGCUAGUAAUCGUGGAUCAGAAUGCCACGGUGAAUACGUUCCCGGGCCUUGUACACACCGCCCGUCACACCAUGGGAGUGGGUUGCAAAAGAAGUAGGUAGCUUAACCUUCGGGAGGGCGCUUACCACUUUGUGAUUCAUGACUGGGGUGAAGUCGUAACAAGGUAACCGUAGGGGAACCUGCGGUUG